UGGGGUGUAGCUCAGUGGUAGAGCCCUUACCUAGAAUGUAGGAAGUCCUGGGAUUGAUCCCUAGCACUGCAU
rnacentral:tRNA from 1 species